UACGAAGGGUGCAAGCGUUACUCGGAAUUACUGGGCGUAAAGGGUGCGUAGGUGGUUGUUUAAGUCUGUUGUGAAAGCCCCGGGCUCAACCUGGGAAUGGCAAUGGAUACUGGACAGCUAGAGUGCGGUGGAGGGUAGUGGAAUUCCCGGUGUAGCAGUGAAAUGCGUAGAGAUCGGGAGGAACACCAGUGGCGAAGGCGGCUACCUGGACCAGCACUGACACUGAAGCACGAAAGCGUGGGGAGCAAACAGG
rnacentral:rRNA from 1 species